UACGUAGGCAGCAAGCGUUGUUCGGAGUUACUGGGCGUAAAGGGGUCGUAGGCGGCUCUAUAAGUAUGGUGUGAAAUCUCCCGGCUUAACUGGGAGGGUGCGCUAUAGACUGUGGGGCUAGAGUGCGGGAGAGGAAAGUGGAAUUCCUGGUGUAGCGGUGAAAUGCGUAGAUAUCAGGAGGAACACCGGUGGUGUAAACGGCUUUCUGGACCGUAACUGACGCUGAUGCACGAAAGCGUGGGUAGCAAACAGG
rnacentral:rRNA from 1 species